ensembl:lncRNA
CUUAAAGUUCCCCUUGAAUUUCUCUUAAAGCUAGCAUCUCCUUCUCUAAAGAGACUUUUGCAAGUCCUUUGCAAAAAUGAGAAUGUCAGAAAAGAGGACACUGCAGUUUUGAAUGCAGUUUAUGAGACUGAAGCUGAGGAAGGGCAUUUUCAGAAGGAUCAAAGACAGAAGAAAGACAGUUUUUACUAGACAAAAAGUGACAAGAGAGCUCCUCUAAGAAAAGAAAAGCUGCUUGCUUCAGCUCAGAAAGGGAGCAAAGAGCCUGGGCUCACUUCCAAAUGUGAAACUGUGGGAUUCCUGCACUCCUACAUAUGAGACCCAGACUGAACUCAAAGGACUGACCAGUUUACCUCCCCAACCAGACUACUUUCUUCAUAGUGCACAAUUGAAAUUGGAGUACACUCGGGUUUCCUUACUUUGAAAAAGCUCAGAAGGAGCAUUUACAUCUCCUAGUGAAAGACUGCAGAAUGGAGUUGAAAUUAAGUUAUUAGAGUUCACGAUUUGUCUUGGCCCAGAGCCUAAUCCAGUUUAUAAUCCAAGAUCUAUGUUGGAGUCUCUGCAUCAGUUUUCCAUGGAAAUAAAUCAGAGGCAUUGCUUUGGGAGCAACCUACAUGGAACUACACGUCUUACUGCUGCAAUUCAUAAACAGAAUAUUGACAAAUUCCUCAGAUUAUAAUUAUAACGAUCUGAAAAAUCAAAUGGCAAGAGUUUGAGAUGGGACUAGUUCACAUGUUGGAGUUGAAGUCAAAGAAGUCUGGACAAAUGGUGCUGAGUCAUGUAUAUAAUAAUUUCUUCAACAACUGCUUCCCAUAUUUGCAUGUUCAACUUUGCUAGGGAAACUUUUCUCAGUAUAUUUCAUGGACUCAGAUGUCAGAUCAAGGGAGAAACAUUCACUACAACCAGAGGUUACAGAGCUUAACAGACCUACAAAUUAACUUCAAGCUGUCGUUUGGUCUUAGAUAUGGUGAGCUUAAGCUUAUGGUCUUUUUUAAUUUAGAAAGACUAACAGGGAAAAAUGACAUGCAGAGUGACAGUCUUACAGAACUCUAGGAAUGGAUAUUUUAUAUGUUGAAACUAUGUCUGUACCAUUUUGAAUAAAGGCAAUUAUAUUCAUAUCUGGCUGAAAAUUAACCUGUAAUCUGCUAGGAUGUGAUGUGUAUAUUGAACAACUGCUAGGGGCAAAGAUCUGAAGUUUUUGUUGUUUGCAGAGAUCAUAUCUAGCUCUUCUGUGCCUCUAAUUCUAAACUUCUUGCACCUUGAGUACUGCAUUCAGUUUUGGGCCCCUAACUACAAGAAAGACAUUGAGGCCUAAGGAAUCUGGAGCACAAAUCUUAUGGAGAGCAGCUGAGGGAACUGGGGUUGUAUAGUCUGGAGAAGAGGAGGUUCAGGAGAGACCUUAUCGCUCUCUACAUCUACCUGAAGGGAGGUCGUGACAAGGUGAGUAUUGGCCUCUUCUGCUGCAUAACUACUGAUAGGCUGAGAGGGAAUGGCCUCAAGUUGCACCAGGGGAGAUACAGGUUGGAUAAUAGGAAAAAUUUAUUCUCUGAAAGUGUGGUCAGGUACUAGAAUGGGCUGCCCAGGGAGGUGAUUGAGACACCGUCUCCAGAGAUGUUCAAGAAAUGUUUAGAUGCUGGGGCAUGGUUUAGUGGGGAAAUAUUGGUGGUAGGUGGAUGGUUGGACUUGAUGAUCUUGGAGGUCUUUUCCAACUUUGGUGAUUCUAUGAUUCUGUGAUUCUAAAAGAACAGUUGCUGCAGUUUUCCCAAAUCUUUAAAAACUUGAGGUGGACUAUGAAGAAUGUAAAAUUGACUUUGAAUAGAUUUCAAUGGAGAAUGCAGUGAUAUGUUUGCCAAAUACUAAAUGUGAAAGUGUUAUGUUGAAAUCUCACAUGGAAAUACAUAUAACAAUGUGAAAACUGUGAAGGAAUCAUUAGUAUAUUUAGCAUUUAAUAUAUUUUUUCAGGCUCUCUGUCAAUAUUUUGGAUGUUAUUUAGAGUUCUUUUAAUAUUAUUAUUUUUUUAAUGAAGAAAUUACACCUCGGAGUGAGAAGUGUAUUUAGUACAUGAUUUUGGGGUUUCACUUGCUGCACAAAGCUUAAUUAAUGGUUCAGAAAAAACAGACUUUCUCUGCUCCGGCAAAGAAUUAACCUGAGUUUUGAGAAAAGAGUUUAAUAGAGCGGUACAAAAUACUACUUCAGUAUUCCUUCCCAACCAGUUAUUUGUGCAGAUGUGAAUUAACGAACUGUUAUAAAAGUGGUGUGAUUUCUGUCUUCUCAUUUAAAGAGCGAUGAUGGCCAACAUUUCUUAUAGUGCUUUACCAUUAAGAAAUAUUAGUGUACUAAUUAAAAAUCAUUGCAUAACUUUUAAGAAUAAACUUCUUAAAAUUAUUAGGAAAGGUGGAACUUUAUUCCUUGUGAAAAAGAAGCAUGAUUGUUCUUCCUCAGACAUUAUCUGAAUCUGCUAGAACUGCUCACAUCAGAAAGACCAAUGGCUGGAAAUGUUGAUAUUACUAGAAGUACUGUCAUAGAUGUUUAGAGAAAUGUAAUUGUUUACUUAUAAGCAUUUGUUUAUACAUUCUGCUGUAGUUGAAGUUAUAUCACAAUAUUUCUGCAGAAACAAAUUUUGAUGUCUGAAACUAGAGUUCUGUUUCCUUUCUAUGGCAAGAUUCUAGGUAUUGAUACUAGUCUCACUGGGUGUCAUGAAAUCACGAAUCUUUCUUUCUGGACGUAUGCAUCAGGUAGGCAUUUAAUUGGCAUUUCUCUUUAAAAAAAAGUAGCUGCCUUAAUGUCUAAUGACUGAUUUGCCCUUCAUGAUACAUAAAUUGGUAGUAGCUUUUUUUUAUAUACAAAGAAAUACUCAUUCCCAUAGAGAAACCUUUUUCUCUUUCCUGAAUGAAAUGACACAGAUCUACAGUUUUCUGAGCCAAGCUUAUAAAAGGUUGUUACAAACGGAGCACAAUUGUGGGAGGUAGGGAUCUCAAAUUCUAAUUUAGGCAUUCUUUGAGGUAAAGAACUUGUGAUGCUCACUUUCAACUGUCCGAACACUCUUAUGUUUUUGAGAUAUAGGCUAACAUAGAGACUAGGAGGCAUAUAAGCUUAUAUGAUUCUCUGUACAGGGUUAGAUAUCAUUCAGUUUUGCUAUUGCUUUGUGUUUGUAAAUGUUUUAAAAUAUAAUGCCUUGUGUAAGAGCUAAAUCUUUUCAUAGCUUAAGUAGUUCUAGUAAAAUAGCAGAUUUUCCCUAAUCAUUUUAAUUACAAAAAGCAAUUGAUAAUCUCUCUCUUCUUUGGACAGAGAGAGCUUUUGAUUUACAUUUCUGUGCAUCUCAUUCUUUUUCUGAAAGCCUGUGUACACUACAAAAAAUUGAAAUAUUUUUCUUCAUAGGAGCAGCAUACAUAUAGGCACACAGAAACUUCAGUGUCAUUAUGGCUCUAUCCUUUUGAAAGCCUACUUUAAAAAAAAAUAAGGACCUAGUAUUUCUAAAGUCCUUAAGAAGGGAAAGAAGCUGCUGCAGACUUAGUUGAAGUGGUAUGACAGUAUUCCAUUACACAUUUGCCAUUUGAUUCUCCUGAGUAAAGCUUCACUAUAAUUGAACUCUACAUGUUUUGCACUUUGUGAACUCAACUGGUACCUCAUGCUUUUCUGAAGGAUGUAAAUGUAUUUAAACACUCACAGGUUAUGCAGUUUGUGAAAAUGGUACCGAACAGCUAUCUAUGGAUGUACUCUAGAAUAUUUGUGUUUCAGAUCAUCUCAUACUUUGCUGCUUCAUAGCAAAUAUGUAGGAGGGGCAUGAAGGGAUGAUAAAUACAUAGCAGAGAAGCUCAGCGAAAUCUUUCCAUUGGCAUUUAGCACUGAGACUCCAACACCUGAUGCACUUCUGUAGUAGAUAGACUAGAAUAUGUAGGUCAGUUUGAAGUAACUACAUCAAAAGUAUUGCUUCAGUCAGGCAUAUUAGACAGACUAGACUUGACUCAGUGUCAAGUGGUGGACAAUAAGCCACCAAAAUUUUGGACAUGUUUAGAAAAGUUAGUGAGAUUAUUCUUAGAAACAAAGAACACCCGAAUGGAGAGUACAGAGUACAUAACUGGUGUACCCAUACCCUGAGUCUCAUGUGUAGUUUGGUCUAGAUAUCUAAGGAAGGGUGUAGCAGAGUUGAAAGAAGUGUGGAGAAAAACAAGUAAAAUAUUUGAAGUGAUAGAGCAGAUGCCUUCUGUAGACACACUAAAAAGCUGGGAGACUUAAUUUAGAAGCAGAGAAGGCUGUGGGAGAAUAUGACAGAAGGUAGAUAAGUCAUAAACUGAAUACACAGAAUUUGUUCACAAAAUACCACAAUAUUAGGCCCCUGGGAACUUGAAAUCAGUUGAGGUUUUAUUUAAAGCUGGUGAAAUGAAGUUCUUUACACAGUGAACUUCAGAAACUGGGGUCAUUGGAGAAGGUGGAAGCAGCCAGUACUGGAAGGUUUAUGAAGGGGUAAAGCUCUCACAAAUGAGCCCUUAACCCUUUUAAGGCUGGGCAGAGUUGUAUCAACUGACAAUAUUCAUAAAACCAUUCUGUACACUGAGGAUGCGUAUAAGGGGAUUGAACUGCAGAAAGUGGCCAAGUUAUGUGCUCUCUUUGAAUGUCAACUAUUGAAUAUUGCACGAGUACACUCUUUCCUCUGAAGGAAAUUUACUAAGUAUCCUCAUUUUUGUCCAGCCAAAGAGUUUUGCAUGUGGUUUCUUUCAGAGUAUGUCCAAACUGCUCUUUAAACAAGACUGAAAUUUUUGUGUCUUUAUGAAUGAGGAUUGAAUAUUCCUUUGCAAUACCCAGGCUACCUCAUCCAGUGUGGAAGUAUUGAAUGAUUCCUAUGCAGAAAACAAAACAGCAUACAGGUUCUGCUAAGUCUGAUCAAGAAACAAUGAGGUGAUAUGUCCUGAAAAAUUCAGUCAUUGCUAAGAAUUCAGUACAAUUCGUUCAAAAUAGUGGAAUUAGUGAUAUCUUGACUGAAUGGAGAAAGAAACUUGUACGGUUUUGUUUCUGCAGACAGUAAGAUAAGUAACAGUUAUGGACUAACAUCACUGGUAGCAAUGUACAGCAAAUUAAUGAGAAAGCAAAGUGUCAACAGACUUCUGGGCAUACAAUAAUAACAAACAUAGUAGAAGAGGAAUCCAAUAUCACAUCUUAUGCCAUUUACUUAUUUGCCAACUUACGUUUCCACAGGCCACUGAAAGCAAUAGCCGCUUGGUUAUGGCAGAAGGUUACAUAUUAUAAAAUAUUUUAGUGCUUCUUUCCAGAGUCAGAAGUACAUAUAUAAAUGAAUUAGAGAAUUAAUAGAAGGGUGCAGGAAACCUUAAAAUCCUUGCUUCUAAGAGAUUAUAGUGAAAAAUAAUAAACAGAUAUCAAAGAGAAAAGGUGUGUUUGAACUACUUCCACCUGUUAAGUAUAAUAAUCUCUCUUUCAUUUUGAACAGUUUUGAAGCAUCAAACACCUUGUGAAUUUCUUACAUAUCUGGGCUUUGGAAGCCUGAUGUUGUACAGGGUAAAUAUUUAAAUCUUUAAGGUGGGUACUGAUGUGAGUGGAGAAUACAAACAUAACAACUAUGCAUUGCAAUAAAUGAUAAAGUGAGAUUGUUGAGUUUUAGCAGUGCAAGAAUUACAUGACAUUAGCAGUAUCCAAUAGGUCUUGGAUGGAGAAAUCUUAGUAAAGGCUUUCUGUUCAGACAUGGUUUUAUAAGUAACAUACGUUAUUCAGGUGUGGAUAUAUGAUGAGAUUUUUUAGACUGUUGCAUUAUUCCAAUAUUAACUUUAGCAUAUACCUUUGAUAGUGAUAACUCCCAAUUUAUGCAGUGACUAUGGUUAUGGUCAACUGAGUAACCCAUGAAAAGAAUUCCACAUGAUGAUUUAAAAAUAGUCAAAUAUUCUAAUUUUUUUCACAUAAUUAUGUGAAAAAAUAUAUAAAUACAAUUUUAUAUUACUUAAGAAAAUAGUUUUUAUUCAGGAAACUUACAUAAGACACUGAAUGAAUUGAACAUAUAUAUUUUAAUGACAAGCAAACAGCAAUAAAAUUAGGAACACGUUAAAGUUUGUCCUGCAUAUCCCUAAAAGAAUACUGAAAAAUAAUUCAAGAGAAUUGUUUUCUAAAACCUAUUGUGUAUUUGUUUAGAUUUUAUAGAAAAUAAUGAUCACAUGAAGCACACCGCAUCAAUUAGGUUUAUAGAAACAAAACACUGUGUUAAUAGUAAUAUGCAAGUAAAUUAACUGUUAUCUCACACUCUUAAAUGUAUUAGUAGUAAUAUUAAACUUCAGUGUAACUGAAAGUACUGCUAAAUUUAAAGCAAAUAUCUGAUUUUUAAAUUGACAUUAAUUGAAGCCCCAAUCUCUCUCUCCCUACCUCUGUAAUCGAUUAGGUUUGAAUACUUACACAGCAAAUCUCUGAAGUCAUUUCAGACCCAGCGUUUGUGUGCAGAAAACAUUACAUAAGUCAUUUCAAAUACUAAAAAAAAAUAGAGAAAAUUUAAUUGUGGAUUAGAAAAAAUCGUUGAAUAAAUUAUAUUUAUUAUAUUUUCUGAAUGAUUUCCUCUUUAAUAAGCAGACACGCCAGUAGAAAACAGCCAUUGGAAUAUCUAUUAUCUCUUCAUCCUUUUAUCCUCUUGCAAUUCUCUUGGGGAAGCAUACAUGUAUAUGCUGCAUGAAAUGUUAUUAACUGACAUUAAGUCUCUCAUCCCCUUAGGCCGUGGAUUUUUUCCUGCUACUUUACUGACCAUUAAGCAGCUCUUGUGGAUGUGAUCUGGAAAUUAUUGUAUUUAUACCUUAUAGAGCACAUGUAUUAAACCGCUCAUUAGGUUUUGAUAUUACAUGACUUCAUAAGCCUCAUAUGAGCUACAGCAGCAAUUAUGUUUUAGUAUAAUGAUGUGAAAAGGACAAACUAUUGGUUCUUUAAAUGUGUGCCGAAGUCUUUUAAAAUAUUAUCUGUCAUCUCUAAGGUGUCUGUUUUUAACUCUUCUUCAUGUCAUAACUAAGUAUGAUUAAGGACAAAGUAAGACUGCCUGCUUUGAGUGCUGUCAGAAGCCACAGGGAACCUUUUUGCUCCGGCUGACUUGCACUGGUGGAAGGCAAUACUUUGUGGCUUGUGCUUUGAGAGGGAAAAUUAAGAUGGUGCUACAUGUCCAGACAUGCCUCUGAAGAAUGUUGGAAAGUUGACUAUCUAAGUUUGUGCAGCAAAGGAUUUGCUGAUAGAUAGCAUGAGAGGUAGCAUGGUGAGAAGGAAAUUAUACCUAUUGCACAGAUACCUCAGCUGCAUUCUCCACCAAUUAUUUUGAAAAUAUUUUGCUGUUUGUACCCUUCUUCUUUAUAACAGCACCAGCAGAGCACCAACUAGAAUGCAUCUAUCUCCUUCUUACUUUCCAGUUUUUCUCAGGUGUCUUAGAUCAGAAGAUUUCAACCAAUUUUAAUAUUCAUUCUAUUUAAAACAUUGUCUUUUUUUCCCCCAAAUCUUAAAGGCUCAAAACAGUUCCCCAUGGGAAAACUAAAGACUGUACCAACACAAGAAUCUCAUUAUCUUUUGCACCUGCACUUUCUGUCUAUUUUUAUAUUUUAUGAUGCUGCAGUUCUUUCUACAGUCAUACUGACUGCAUUAAAUUAUGUAAAGGCAGAGUCUUGUGACACCUCUGAACCAACAGGCAGGAGAAUACAAAAUCUUUCUUUUGCUCUCACCCUGACUCAAAAUUAAAUUCCAAAAAUUAUAUGCAAAUAAUAUCACCACUCUCAGUUUAAUGAAUGGAAUCAAAGAACGGCAAGGGCAAAGACGUAAGUUUUAUCCUCUGCUAGUACUGAAGAAUUAGCACUAGAAUUAGUAUGAAUUUGCAUUACUAAAUGAUCAUUGAAUGACAUGAUAACUGGGUGCAAUUCAAGUUUGUUAAUAUUUCUAAACGAUAGCAUCGUUUUUUUUUGCUUAAGGCUCAGGGCUGAACAAGGAGCACUGACUUCCCUGCCACAGACUUGCAAGGUGACCUUGACAAAUCACAGAACAUAUCUGUACCUCAGUGUGAGACGGGAGAAAUUAAAACAUUUCCUAGCUCACAGAGGCAUUGGUAAAGCUCAGUUAAUCAAAGUCUUUCAAGAUCUUUAGACAGAAUAAUCUAGAUAAGAGCAAAGUAUUAUUAUUCUUACUAAAGAGGACCUCUCCUGAGCACUUAAUUUUUCAUUUUAUACAAACUUUUUUGCUUAUUUACACUGUCAGCAUACAGAGUGAUAGAUCCUUCUGACCUGAUUUGUGUGAAGCUUGUCAAGAUACAGAUGUUUUUAGCACUAUAUCCCUGUUAGGAUAUGACACAAUACAUCAUAACAGCUCCAUCAGAGCCAUUAGGGUGUAAGUUGUCAAUGCAUAAUAAGAUUACUAUGCGUUAUAGCAGGUGGUGCUCAAAUAACACUGAAGCAUGAACACUGUGGUAGCAUCUAGAAUCCCUUUGAAUACUGGUGUUGCAAUACCUUUCUAAUGUAUCUAGCAUUAUCUUUUUGUAGUAAAAUAUUUCUUGUUGUGCAUGAAGAACUAUUUUUUUGGUAAAAUAAGUAACUGUUACAUUUUUGUUGUUUCAGAAAACGUAGAGGUCUACAAAUGUUUCUGUUUGCAAAAGAAGUUGUUUUUGUUUAAAUGAAGGGCAAAGCCUGCCAACAACUCUGUAAAUAUUAGCCAAAUAUGUUCAAAGUUUUACUGUUAGAAAACCAGCCUGUAAGAAGUUUGGAUUCAAAAUGGCUAUUGAAACAGUACUGUCAAAAGGUUCUAUUUAUAGAUUUUAUAUACAUACAUAUAUAAAUAAAUGGAAAAUGUUGUUUUAUGCACAAUAUUAAUGAGUAUAAUUGAGCCUGGAAAAAUGAGACAUUCAAAUAAUUUUAAGUUGGUGUCUGAAAAACUCUGCUGGUUUUCUAUCUAGGAAAGACAUCAAGGAAAAGAAUCAGCAGAACUUGCAGAGAAAGACUCAAUACUGCUAGGUUUGUACCUCCCUGUCAGUAUAACCUAUGAGCAUUACCCAUUCACUGGUGAAUUUAUGCUUCUCAUGCAUUUGUGAAGGAUCUCUUCUUAAGGAGAACUGAAAAACUGGCUUAUUGAGGAUCACGAUAAAGUCUGUAGCAGAACAUAGAGGAAAAGUGAACUUUGCUGAUAUUUUCAUAUCAUCACUAUUAAUCUGUAAUUCAAUGUGUGAAGCUUUUUCACAUUAUUGCAUUAUUCCUGAAAUGCACUCCAAGCAGGCAAACUGGCAAGCUACAGUGACAUACAUACACAUAUGUAGAUUUUGCAUGAGGUCUUAUAUGUGCAUUCACAUCUGCCUGUAUGGAAGCAGGUUGAGGUAGGUCUUUUAUAAAGUGAGAGAUGAAGGAAAAGUGCAGAAUUCAAAUGCUUACAAUGUUUUCAAGCCUUUGCAGAGAAGAAUGAGGUGAAUGGCUUCAAAGAAAAUUUUUCAUAUUUAGGCAUUACUGCAUCUUCAGUAGGUAUGAGUCCUCCUAAACAUGGAAGUUAUAGCCUCUCCCAGUAAGAUGUAUAGUGACUGUGUGAGAUGUAUGAUUUUCUUUCUGUGCAGUAGAGGCAACAGGCAGGGACUGACCUAUGAUCAGAAAAGUCCAAUAAAUUUUCCAGGAAUAUAUAUUCCAAAUGAUAAAAAAUUGAGUAAGAAAAGGAAACAGUCCAGUCAUUUUUCAUAAAUGUGUUGUUCAAAGACUUCCUCAUAAAAAAUCAAAUAUCUUUCUGGUACAGCAAAGAAAGGUAAAUAAGAUAUGCAUUCUGACACUUACACAGAAUAACAAGCAGGAAACAUGCUGUGGUCCUUGAAGAAGACAUAGAGUACAAAUAAAUAAAAGAAAAUACAGAAAAGGAAAGAAAAAAUUAAAGAAAAAAGAAGAAUGGGGAGGAACGUCAAUGAUAUGACCCGUGGCAUGAAUACAGUCUCUUUCUGUUAUUACAGCAAACAGAAAGAAGUUAGAAAUAGAAAUGCUUUCAAAUAAAGGCUAACAUGGGGGAAACAAUAAACUGAAGGGAAGACUUGCUCAUCUAAAAGACUAUCUAACAAAAUAACUUGGAAAUAACCUUCAUUGUUUUUUACUCAGGUUAGAGUAGAGUAGUUCACAUGGAGGAGAGAAGUCAAAGAUGAAUUGAAUUUGCUCAGGAACAAAAUUUCCACUCAUAAAAAUGGGAGCUUGUACUGGAAAGAAAAAAAAUAUAUGAAAUGCUGGGAAUGAUCUAGACCAAGUAGCAAAGAGUGAGAGUUCUGAAAACAAACCUAUCUUUGUUUCCUCCAUGUAAAGUUUGUUAAAAAAAAGAAAAAAAAAAAAAAAGAAAUGUUUAAGAUCUAGAAGUCUUCUGCAAAUGAUAUUAAAGGAGGCUAUUCUUAUAGAUCUAUAAAGCCAAAGGCUAAGUAAUGGUGGAAGAAAAGGAGAAAAGUUUAUUCUAACACCCUCCCAUGCUGAGCAAGAACACUGAAGACCAUAUCUUUUCAAAAGCAACAUUUGCUGAGACAGCAGGAUUUUUUUUUCCAGAAAUUAAAUUCUUCUUUGCCCCCAGUACAAAGCUGAAUAUUUUUUCUUGGAAGGCUAUUUCUGAGCCACAACCCCUAGACUGUUAGAAACCUUUUAAUUUCCAGCCUAAACUUACUCAUGAACAGUCUAUAUCUAUUUGUUUUUGUGCCAGCACUGUCCUUUUGUGUUAAUUGUACAUCUAUAUCAUGUAGCUAUUUGUAGGUUAUUUCGUAUUUCAAAAGAUAAUAUCAGUAUUUUUAAAAGAAAUCACCAGCUGAGAUUCUGAGGAUAAAAUUAGUUGUUGCAACAGCUGUUUGAUCAUAAAGUUAUUGUCUAAAAAGCUUAUGAACACAAUAAGAUGUGAUUUCACUUCACUUUAGGGGGAAAUAACAUGCUGUAUCUUUUUAUUACUUCUAUUUAUGACAUUCAGUAAUGAAAUAGAGUUAAAAUAAUUUUCAGGAAAACAGAACUUGAUUUAAGAAUAAAACAGACUAGAUGAAGUCUUUAUUCAUUCAUUAAAGGCAAGAGGCUAUUUUUCAACCUUUAUUCAAGAAACUUGAUGAAGUUUUCUUUUGGGUCUGGUUAAUUGUUUGGCUACAGUAUUUAUCAGUAUGACAACUGAUUGACAACUGCAUAACAACCAGCUACUUCAGAAGCAGAUUUGCACAAGUGGAUUUUUGAAGGAAGGAAAUUGAAAGUGUCAAGCUGAGAGAAUGAAGAGUGUCCAGGUCUAUGCAAACAUACUGUUGAGAUUAUACUGCUAGGUUGUAAGCCCUUCUGAGCAAUGAUAGUCCCUUUCCAGAUGCCUGUGAGCAUUACCUAUCUUUAAUGCAUUAGUAUAUAGAAAACAUACAUGUUUUCUCUCUUUCCUCUUCAAAGGAAAAAUGCAGAGUAAAUUUCAGUCUGUCAGAAUCUUUAGGAAACAUUACAGGGAUUUCCCUGCAGCACUUUCAUUUCUAUGCAGAACAAACUGAAGAGGUGCAAAGCAGUAUAUCAGAAAUUCUGUUUCUUGGUUGUAUGAAACUUCAGAUUUACCUUCCUAUUCUCAUUAUUAAUUACCUGCAAACCCUCCAAGAACACUUUCUGUGCCACAGCUGGACACUUUUUUCUCUACCCUCAUCUGCCAAAAGGUUGGUACUCUGUCAGAGAUGAGCUGGUGUCUCAUUUCUCUCUAUCCCUCUGUUUUUUCUCUUGCGCAUUCUGGCAGCGCAGGGCUCUUCUUUAUUAACCUUUUCCAACUGAAUAAGCCAGAACAACACAUGACUUCUGACCUGAAGCAAUACAGCCAAGUGAGUAGGCUGGCUAUCUAUUUGCACUGCCUUUCUACACGAGGUCCUUUUCCUCGGUAGACAUAAUGUACCAGAGAUGUAUUAGAGAUAAGGAUAAUGUGUCUGUCUGCCUGUUCUCCCUAUAGCUUUGGGAGACAAGCAGGAUGAAUAUGAGAGUGCAGUGGUAUGGGCCAAAUGCAAUGAGACUCCCACAAAUAUGGUGAGAUAAAAUGCUGUGAAGUCUCUUCAUUUAAUUGUAUAAUCCUCCACACUGAUCAAGGAAGAAAACUUAGGGUCAUUGCUCAGUGAAUUGCCUUACAAUGCACGACAAUUACAUUGGAAGCAAAACAAAGGUACCAGCUUAUAAAGAGAAAAAGAAAAAAGAAAAAAAAAAAAAAAAAAGGAAAUCUCUAGUUCAGUUGGACAGAUUUGCAAGGAUCUUCGAAAAUGUGAAGGAAAUGGCUUUCUUCAAUCAGUUGUGUCUGUGUGGAGAGUGAAGGUGAAUAGUCUCAGCUCAGGAGGAAUGUAAUUUGGAAAGGCACUUUGGAGUUUCAAUGACUAUGUGAAGGACAGUACUUCCAGUAACAUUUAGAAACAUUCUGAGUGGAGAGAAGAUGAAAAGAAAAACCAAAACCAAAAACAAAACCACAACCAAGCAAAACACUUAGUUGUUUAAAAAUGCAUCCAUUUUCUCAUGUUUUGUUUUUUUUUUUUUCUUCUGGAAAUCAAUGCUGCAAGUUAUUGUUGUUAAUUGUAAUGAGAUCAUAAGUUUAGAAAACAUUCCCUCAUAAAAAAACAAAUGUCUUUUAAUAAAGUAUGAGAAUUGUGGAAUGACUAUUGGUAAUAAAAAUGAAAUCUGACAAAGAAUACAGAAUAGCCACAGUGGGGAUAACAGAUAUAUUUCUUUGGAACUGUUAGCUGCAUUAACAUCAUAUAAAACUGUGUUCUAAGAUAUCUGAGUUCUAUGUGAAGGAUCAUAUGUAAAUUUUAACUAAACUGGAGCCAUUAUAUUAUCAUAGGUACAAUGUGCUAGAUAGAAGGCUGUUUCACAUCCACUGAAUAGAUGUGUAUGUUCAUGCAUGUAUGCAUAGCUGUAUGUCUAUAAAUAUAUUCAUAUGUUUAGAGAAAACUUGAACUGGUGGAAAACUGAAAGGACAGGAGGAAAGCAUAGUUUGACUAAAAAGCUAGUUGUUCCAUCUUUCUGUUUCUUUAUUCACCAUAUUUACAUUUUAAUCAGAAGUUGGACUCAAUCCUUAGGCAUCCCUUCCAACACGGGAUAUUCUAUGAUUCUAUGAUUCUAUAUUUAUUUCCCUGCUCACUUCUUUUGUAUAAAACCUACUUUCUAAUUCAGUUGGGUAACUCAUCUUUAAUAUUAUUUUAACAGAUCUUGUCUUACUUUCAUGGAGUAGUCACAGCAAAGGUUGCAUUGUAAAAGAAAAUUGCCUCACUACUGCACUGGGUUUUCUAAUUAGUAUAUCUGGUACCACCAUUGGAUAUUUGGAGAAGAAGAAAAGAGAGAGGAAAGAGAGACCACUGUUAAUCACCCCUUACUAGUAGUUGAGGCCCUCAACUUGUUAUUUAAUUUUCAGUUUUACAUACCUCGAUUUCAGAAAACAAAUGAUAGAAAAAGAACCUCAGCUGCAUACCCCGGCUUGCAGGCAAACCUCUUCUAUAAAUAUGUGACCAUUUUAUGAAACUGUAUGGAAGAGAAAAUACGACUAUGAACUUAUGAACAUGUCGAGUGUUUCCCAAAAGAGUUUUAUGGUUUUAUGAUCUAUGAGUUGAAUCAACUCAAAGGAAACUUGAUUUUAUUAAGAACAGCAUCUCAGAACUCAUCUGUGGGUUUGGAUUUCCAACACACUCCUGUAAAUUUGUUGAAUUAUUUAUUUGCAGUGAUGAGACGAGAACAGGAUUCUUCAAGUGGGCUGUACAGUUUGCAUGUCUUACAAAAAAUCUGAUCCAGAAAGACAGAUCUCCAUCAUUCUUAUAUAAGUCUUUUAUAAAUUUGCCCACUGUUAUUGUAAAAUUAGUCUUUUUACAGGAGUGAAAUUUCAAAUUGCUGAAACACUUUCCUGUAGAAUCAUGAAGUGAGAAGAAAAAAUUGAGAAGUAUUUCUGCCUGUAUGAGGAAACACAUGAGCACUGAUACAGAAGGUAUCAAGCCAGCUUGCUGACCAUUGCUUCUAGGACAGCUGGAAGGUCAUGGGAAAUAUUCCACUUCACCAUUCCAAAAUCCUUGCCAUUCCAGUUUGCCUCUUUUCAUUAUUUUUAUUAUACAGAAGCCCAGCAUGUUGUUAGGUCUUUGACAAGGAUUUGAACAAAAUUUAAUAUAUAACUACAUUAUUGAAGGAGUCAUAGAAUUAUAGAAUCAUAGAAUGGUUUGUCUUGAAAGGGUUUCUUAAGAUCCCUAGUUCCAACCUCUCUGCUAUAAGCAGGGACAUCUCCUACUAGACCAGGUUCCUACAUGCCCUCAUAAAAAGUGGCCUGAUAGCUGCCUUUCAGUAUCUAAGGGGGACCUACAGGAGAGAAGGGGACAGACUCUUUGGCAGGGUCUGUGAUGAUAGAAAAAGGGGAAAUGAUUUCAAACUAAAAGAGAGGAUAUAAGGAAAAAGUCUUUUACAGUGAGGAUGGUGAGGCAUUGUAACAUAUUUCCCUGAGAAAUGGUGGAUUCCCUCUCCCUGGAGACACUGAAGAUCAGGUUGGAGGAGUUCUAAGCAACAUGAUCUACCUUUGGAUAUCCUUUUUCAUUGCAAGGAUGACCGUUAAGGGUUCCUUCCUACUCAAAUGAUAUAUGAACUUGAGCACACCCUUUCUUUCUUCCACGAUUACCCACGGAAUAUGAAAGUAAUAGAAUGUCUACUGCAUACUUGCUUUCCUUACCCCUGCCUCUCCCCAGGUUUUGCAGAUUGUAUCUGCAGUUGCAUUUUUCAUCACUUCCUCUUGAGAUUGUGGGAAAGUGAGGACAAAGUAUGACAUUAAAAACAAUUUGACUCUAAAAGGAAAAAAUAAACCAGACUAUUGCUAGGAAAACAUUAUUGAAAAUCCUAUGAAAAUAUAAAUACAAUUUAUUUUGGUAUCCUUAAUCCUCUUAAAAUGGAAGAAUUAAGCCCAAGAAGCUGUUUAACUGCAUGUAGAAAUCAUGGUGAAUUUAUCUUCAUUGGGUGACCUCAUCAAAUUAUUCUCCACUGCUGUGAUUUUUUUUGAAGACAGCUCAAUAACAUUUGACUCCCAGUUCCCAUUAGAAUUUAAUGAGAACUGGGCCUCUAAGUCCCCCAGAUUCCUUUGAAAAUAACCCAGCCUAUGAUAAAAUAAUACAGUUCUGUGCAUCCUUAAUUUCUGACAGCAUGUUCAUGUCUGGAAUAUUGAUUGCAACUGCUACUGCCAAGCACACAGAUCCCAUCACUCUUGCCUGCUUUUCCAUUAUGUCAUAAAUAGAUAGCACAGCUCAAUAGAUCAUACAGAUAGAUGGAGCUGGACUACUUACAUGGACUUGCAGGAAAAAACAACUAAUAAUAACCAAGUAUCUAACUUGAUUGGACAAAUUACUUGAAUGAUUUUUAAAAGCUCUGAAAUGAGUAACUUCGAAGAGUGAAUAACGGCGAAAACAAGGCCAGGUCCAACAGUAGUAAUUAGAUUCAAGUAAAAAAUAAAACUCAAUUGGAAAGUUUUAAAGUCUUUGUAUUAUGCAAGUAACCUGGCAAGUUUGUGGUACCAGAAAUGGGAGUUCAAUUAAAUAUUUGGAAAGCCAAAAAAAAAAAAAAAAAAAAAAAAAACAACCCAAAAAACAAAAAACAAACAAACAAAACAAAACCCAAAACCCAAAACAAACAAAACAACAACAAAAAACCAGACAUGCAAGCAGAAUCAUUUAGUAUCCUGCUAAGCUGAAAACACAUUCAAACUAAAACGAGAACUCAGGUGGUUGAAUAAGCAAUAGGAAAAAAGGAACAGAGUUGUCAAAAUAAAAUAUAUUUCAGACUGACUUGAGUAAAAUUUUAAUCCUUGAUUUCAUUUUUCGUGUUUGUACAUUUGUUCCCAGCAGUAAAAUCACAACAUCAUUUCACAGAAAGGUAAGGAAAGGAAAGGAAAGGCAAAGAAAAAGUGCUGGUGAUUCAGCCUCCAGGCUCUCCAUAAAACCUACUAGGAAGCAGAAUGCAAAGUUGUUUUUGUAUGUCCUACUGUGACUUAUCAUGUUAUUAGAAGUCUAUUUCCUCAUCUUUCUGGGGAAAAAAAAGAAAAAAGGGACAACUCAGGAAGAUCACUGUUGGGCUUCAUUCUUCCAUGGAAUUAAAAAAAACGAAACAAAACAAAAAAAAUCCAAAGCAAACAACAAAAAAAGCAACCUGUACUCAGCAGCUAUGGUUUGCAACACUGCACCAAGAUUAGGUUAGAUAUUCAUUUUAAGAGCAGGCCAUUACUUUUGCAGUACUUCUGCAGGAGUAAGACUAAGGAAAUAGCCUAACAGAUCUCAUUCAUAUGCAGCAACUCACCAGUCUCAAUAGAUAGGAUUAACUUGGAUUCUUCACAGGGAAUCCAAUUUCAUAAUUAUUUUGUUUAGUUUUAUCAUUUUAUUUUAUUUUUACUUUAUUUAAUGAAUUUAAAUGAAAAUAUCUAGAAAUCUAUCAGGAACUGGGACUCCAUUUUGUCCCCUGUAUGUGGGGCCUACUAUAAAACUGCAAAACCAAAAUUGUGGUUCAUAUUCUUUUAACAUCUCCAAUCUAAAGAGGAAAGAUAAAACUGAGAUACAGAGGAUUUGGUGUCCAAGGAGCCAGUGGAAUGCCUAAGGGCAGUUUAAAGCAAACUUGAAUGUUUACACAGUCUCAAACCACCCUUCUUUUCUGAACACACCAGGGGAGACAAAAUUUGUCAUCCUAGCAGGCAGGAGUGUAAGUACAUCUCCUGCAUACCUGCUGCCAAAGGGUAUUUGUAUGUUUGAAAGUUACUGCGGCAAAAGAAUGUCAAGCAAUGACUUAAAGACUGAUGAAGUGCUUUCUGGACAUCACUGAUGAAGUUCUCCUUAAAGCAGGUGGCCUAGCAUCAAACAAAAUAUAAAUAUACCUGCUGGAAAAAUAGAAUGAUUAGUUAACACCAUAGGGCAAACAAAUGUUAAACUGACCUCAAGUCCAAAGGAGAGAUGAAAGACAGAUGGGGGCUGGUGAAUGCACUUGAUAAUGUUGUUGGGAGCCUUAAAUCUGGUGGACAGAGAAACAGGAACCUUUGGAUGGAUGGAUGCAUAGGGUGACAAGGAUGAAACUAUGGAAAUCUGAAAUACUACCUCCUGGUACAUUUGCAUUUCAGGAAUCUGAGCACUUAAAUAGAGAGAGGCAGUGGCGAUGAAAUGGAAGAUAAGUUUUACUCAUGAAUUAGUUGUAAUCAUCUGUAAUAUUGUGUUAGCUGGAGAGCAAACGUUUAGGAGCAUGAUCAGGAAGAUUAGUUGAUUUUCCACUUGUAUCAUAUAACGUAUGAAUACAACAAAUUCUGCAACAUAUUAAAUAUAUAUGGAAUUAUUUUAUUUUAUUUUAACUUAUAGCAAAGGUGAUUUACUUCUUUACACAAGAAAGAUUCCUAUGACUAUUUGUAGUCAUAGAACUUAGCAGUCUAAGUUCCAAAGUUGAAACUUUAAUUGGAACUAUAGGAAAUCUCCUCUGAUAGCUCUGAUAAUAGAUAGCUCCUCUGAUACAUCUAACCAGUAAUAAUUUCACAUCUAUAGAUUUUUGAUGUGGCCUUUUAAUGUACUUUUGGAUCCUCCUGCAUGAUGAUGAUUCUGGUCUUGCAAGCUGCUGUGUGUAGGCAGCCCCUGACACCAGAGACCACUGCUGUGGGAGUUAGAAAGUCUGUGCUCAGAUGGAAAGGUCAAACUGCACAGAAUAGCUUGCAGGUUCAGAAGCCUGCCUGAAAUACUCUCAGCUUAGAACAAACCUGAAUUACUUUGUGAGUAUGAAACAUUUAACACGAGAGCCUGCAAAAAGUGGUAAAGGUUUUGUAUAUAGCUGUCUAAGAUGAGCUAACCUAAGACUUAAUUAGCUAUAAUAUACAAAGAAACCCUUUUUAAUAAAUAAUUAAAUAAUUAAAAUCCUGGCCUGUGACAGUAGCAAAAUCAGUUUUGCAGUUGGAAGUCUACUUCUGUGCUUUCUUUAUUAUUAAAUACAUCAUUUUAAGAAGGCAAUUUUGAACUGAAUAGAUGUGAAUCUAAGAACACCAAAACCCACUUUGUGUCUUGAUAGAAACAUUUUUUUUGUGUGUUUUGAUCCUGGAAAUUUCACAUCUCUCUUUUAACUUUCUUAAGAAAUAACAUUACUUCUGUUUCUCCAGUCGUUUACUUGCUUAAACUCCAGAGCAUACUGGUGUGCUGCAUAAUUGGAACAAAGCUUAAUAUUGUAAAUAAAAACCUUUACCUCCAAAUCUGCAGAGGAACUGUAUUUAAAGAAAUGAAACAAAAUAGAAUUUAAAUGCUUAAAUACAAGAUAAUGUUUAGAAACUUUAGCUGCCCACAAUCAAACAUUCCCAGCUGAAGUUUGAUUACUUUGGCUUGCAUUUAUCUGAUACUAAAAAAAAUAAGGAUUGGUUGUCAUCGAGGUAUUGGAAAGUGACAAAUAUAAUAUAAUUUCUAAAAAGAAUGACCAUCAACCCAGUACUGCAUACAGUAUGGAUGAAAGAAAGCCCUUUUUACCUAGCUUCAAAUUCCCCACAGCCUUCUGGAUUUUACAUAUUUACCACAGGUACUCAUAGAACUGAGUUGUUUGAAAUGUGAAAAUGUCUGAAUGUGUUUUCAGGAGCAGCCUGAAUAAUGUGGACAACACAUCAACAGAGAGCAAAACUAAUACAGAUACACUGAAUAAAAAGGACAGAGAGGGAGAAAAAGAUGUAGAUGAAAAUGCAUAACAACAGGGCAUAAAAACAGUGUCAAUAUCCUUAUCUAUUUAAUUAAUGUUGGAAAUAAGUUUAGUUACAAAUUAUGCAAUAAUAAUUAAUUAACAAUCUAACUCUAGAUUCUCAUGUCAUUAUUCAUCUUUAAAAAUAUUUGAUACAGUGGUUAUUGAUGAGUUUUGUAUUUUUCUAGUAGCUUUGCUAACCCCUGAUUAUUACUGCUCAUAUAUUGACCUUUUUGCCAUAUGUUUUGAUCAACUUUGAAUUAUUAGUAUUUAAAUUUUCUAACAGAUUAUUGAAGUCUCAAAAUACAAUGGUUUUUGUAGCAAAAUCAUUAAUGUGAUAAGAUGCAGAUCAAAAGGAGUGUUCACCACCGUGAAUACAAAUAGUACAAUAUGAAUUAAUAUGAAAAAAUGAAACACUGUGAACAACAGACUUCCAUUAAUGUGUUAGUGAGCAUAUUAAUGACAAAAUUGCUGAAAGAUACAAUGAAAAGUCUCAACUAAGAAAAAAAAUAUGGAACAUUUCUCAGAAUAUAAAUGAAUUCCUAAAUGAAACAAUUUAAAGGUUAAUUUGGUAUUAUUUCCUGGAUAUGUGUGUCAAAUUUAUUCAUUGAUCAAAAGCACUCUUUUACACAAACAAACAGAUAAAUGCCCUUGAUAAUAAACAGCAUUUGAAAUGCUACAUCAGGUGAUAGUGCAGACUACUUUCCUUUGGUCUAGUGAGUCAUUCAGGGAGUAAGACUAUCUUAUCCACACAGACCCAGUGUACUGAAAUUUAUGACAGUCAUUCACAGUUUGGGGGCUGCUAGAUUGCAUAUGUUCUUUCAAAGAGAUCUUAUUAGGUAUUCUGCUGCUGAGGCAUCUGCUGGUCAGGGUAAUCUUGAUGCAGGUCAUGUAGAAGACUUGUGGACAUGAAGAACAGCAUUUUUCCAUUACUAGCUUGAUUCCAAAACCAAUGAACUAUUAGCUAUGGUGGUGCAGGAGACUUUUCACCAGUGUUUUAUUAAGAAGUCCAGGGUCUCUAAAUUUGGCAGUGCCCAUGGGCCAUAGUUAUAUUCUACUAAUGAGAAAAUUAUGAUACUGACAUCAGCUUCCCAAUCCUUUUCCCUAAAGAAAACACAUAGCAUAUUAAUCUGUAUAAUUAAUGUCAUGUUUCUUCAUAUCCUCUCUCUCCAAUUAUCCUCAAAAUAAUUCUGUUUGACUCCAAAUACCUGAAAUCUUUAAAAACUUUAUACCAAUAUCUCUAUGGUAGAUCUCUUUGAGUGUAGUUGUAACUCAUAACAAAAACAUUGUAUUUCUGUUAACGUAUGGAUAAUUACAUCAGAAGUCACAUACAGACCAUCAUGAGAAUAAUGCUCGUUCUUAUUGCUGUAUUUUGAAAUUUAAAGAUCCUUAGCACUGAAUAAGUGACAGAAGUAUGCACAAUAAAUUUAUACUAUUGCUUUUAAACUCAUAUCUGCCUUUUUGAUAGUAGAGAACAGCAGAGAAAAUAAUUAAAUACCUACAAAAAUAUUUUGUUUGUAUGUGGUGUUUUGGAGAGAAAGGUAGGUAAGAUUUAUUUAUAUUAAUAAUGUGUCACCAUUUUAUGUACCAGAAACUGCAUAGUUAAUAACUGCACUUGAGUUACAGUGAAGAUUUUCAAUACUUUCAAAUGAAAUUUUAUAUAAAUUCUGAUUUGUUUUAAUAAAAUUUAAAUGUUUGGUAACAGCUUAUUCUUUUUGUUGGAGAGUUUUAUGUUCCAUAGUUACAUUGACUUAAAUUGGCUGAGAUGUGUGAGUUUUAAUGAUUCACCUAGAAAGUUAUAUAGACCAGUGUUCAGAACAAGAGCAACGGGAAGUAAGUCAGCAAGAGAAACAAGACACGUAAAAGUGACUGCCUGCAAACCAGUAGCUUCGCCCAAGAUCUAUCAACUGCUACUAGGUGCUUAUGAAGUGUACCAGGCUUGGAGCUGAUAAGGACUGGAAAAUGACCUGAAAAUUUUUUAAAUGCAAAGCAGCUCCUAUAAGAGCCACCUGGAAGUGUGGCCCAUAACCAAUGUUGGUGUUUUUUUUAUUAUUAUUAUUUUUUAUUUUUUGUAUAUCAAUAAAUACUUAGAAGAGAACAAAAAGCACUCUAGAGAUGUCUCAAGAAAGAGGAAGGCCUGAUGUCCUUCUCUUUGUAAUAGAAAUACUUUGUUAUGAAGCUCAACUUCAUUCAGAUCUUUGGAGAUAGGGACUUGCAGCCUGGAAUGUUGAGAAUAACACAUUUUCAAUAUGAGCUGAAGGAACUCGAGCUGUUUAGUCUGGGGAAAAGGAGGCUGAGGGGAGACCUUAUUGCUCUCUUCCAAUAUUUGAAACGUGCUUACAGCGAGAGCGAGGUUGGCCUCCUCUCACUCGUGACAGGUGACAGGACAAGGGGAAAUGGCCUCAAGUUGCACCAGGGUGAGUUUAGGUUGGAUAUCAGGAAGCACUUCUUUACAGAAAGGGUUGUUAAGCACUGGAAUAGGCUCCCCAGGGAGGAGGUUGAGUCACCAUUGCUGGAUGUGUUUAAAAACCACUCAGAUGUGGUGUUCAGGGACAUGAUUUAGCAGAGGGUUGUUAGAGUUAGGGUAGGAUGGUUAGUUUGUGGUUGGACUCAGCAAUCUUUAAGGUCUUUUCCAACCUGAGCAAUUCUAUAAUUCUCUAUGAUUCCCAUUGAAAAAUAAUGUUCUCAGUUAAAAACCAGUGUUGAUGAGAAACUGUAAAAUACUUAAGUGGUUUUUUUUUUAAUAAAAUAGGCCAACAGUAUGAACAAGAAACUCUUGACAUAUCUGAAAAAAAAUAAUUGUACAGGAGUGCAACUGGAAUGCUUUCAUUGCAAAGAAAAUAUUGCUCAUAAAAACAAUGAGAAGAGGGUUUUGAGUAAACAGAAUGGUAUGCUUCUGGACAACAUAUGUUUAUAAAUAUUUAAAACUUCAAAUCAAACAGUUUCUGAAGAAAAGAACAAACGAAACCUGGUUUCCUAUGGAUUUGUGCCCUAAUUCUUUUACACAAUUUCUCUUCUAUUCCCAGUACCAGCCUCCCCUGAGCAGGCUGCUAUAUUUGCAAUGGUUAAGCUGUGCUGCAUGUGUGCCCCCUGGCUAACUUUCUUCUUGCUGCUAUGUGGGACUGUCUGUAUCACCUCUGGGGAAGGAAAGAGGAAAGAAAAUUCAAUAUUGAAAUCUGAAAGACAAAUUCUAUUUCCUAUUACAACCAGUGUUCUGGGAGGAGGUUCA